CCCCAGCUAUUGAUGAGCUCCAGAGUGUGCCUGUCCAGGAAGAGGCUGUGGUUUUUCUGGAUACAGCAUCAUCGGCUGCUAUGGAGAUGGAAGCAGAGGCGAGGGGAGCAGACAGCGGCUCGGGAAUCCCUGGUGGUGCGCCAAGCAAGAGUAGCUCAAAACCUACUCAGCGCUUGCAAUCACUUCACUUUGAAAAAGCUGCAGAACCUGCAGCGAAACGCGUCAGCUGCCACCCUGAUCACCGUUGUUUUGUUGCUGAACCAGUGCCCGGACCAUACUGGAUGUCCAGAGUUUGCUAUUUGGUGGAUUCCAACAGGUGUACCAAGGACCAUCCCGCAAGUCAAGCUCCGCAUACUGGUGAGGAUUGAGAAUAUGCUACCAACUCCCAACUGAAGGAUCUUCUAUGGGAUAUUUCUCCCUCCAGCGGCAUAAGAAGCGGUAAUAACCCUUUUCGGGACUGUGCAAUCAGCUCCUAAGCCUGUAUAAUCUGCCUAAACUGGUGUCCAAUUAUUUAAAAGGAACGGACAUUUCUGGUUCACUAAUUCUGCCGGUGGUCACAUUGACUUUUAAUUGGUUAUUAAUCAGAGUAUUUAAUUAAAAAUUUUUAAUCUGUUUUCA